CUUUUGUGCUGAGUCGUUCUAAUUCUCGUCUCCCGCUCCCCUUCAAUAAACUUCACGAUCAUCGUCGUCGUCUUCAGUGCUGUUGAGUUUGAGCAUCUAAAGGGAUCAUCAAGUGGGAUGUCUACUAAAAGUGAAAUAGGCCUGUGUAUCUGCACAUCUUAUACUGGCUUUACUAGCAGAAGAGCCAACUGGAAAGAAUAUAGUGCAAUGGUUGCUGAGUUUGAAGGGCUGAAACUAGGCAUGAUGAAUUCAUGUAGAGUUCCAAAAUGUGACAUUCAGAGUGCAGAAUUCAUGGCUGAAUCUGUUGUGUUCGACGAGAUAAAGAACUGGUCCUUGGUUUGUCUGGUUCCUCGAAUCAUUCUAUAUCCACACUGCAGAUCAAAACUUGGUAGCAUGCCAGUGAACGAGCUGAAGGCUGAAACCCUACAGAGCCGAUCCUGGGAUAGAUUACCGGAAACACUCAGCUGCUUGCCUUUCUGAUUCCUCAAGAACAACACAAAAAGAUUGAGUGGUUUCAGAUACUUAGUAGGUUUUCCCUUUCGUUUCUUUUUUUCUCUUUUUUGCUUCAAACUCGAAUUUGGCACCAAAUUGUCGUUUCAUCCAAAUGUAUAGCAUAUCAGACCUUUGUAGCAAGUUCAGCACAAGAAAGAUUAUUACAAUACAGCAGUACAAAACUUCCAA